AGUUAAUAGCUGCAUUAUUUGACGUUAGCGACAGAAGAAGCACCGGCUAACUCCGUGCCAGCAGCCGCGGUAAUACGGAGGGUGCGAGCGUUAAUCGGAAUUACUGGGCGUAAAGACGCAUGCAGGUGGUUUGUUAAGUUCAGAUGUGAAAGACCCGGGGCGUCAACCUCGGAAUAGCAUUUGUAAACUAGGCAGACUAGAGUACUGUAGAGGGGGGUAGGAAUUUCAGGUGUAGCGGUGAAAUAGCGUAGAGAUCUGAAGGAAUACCGGUGGCGAAGGCGGCCCCCUCGGACAGAUACUGACACUCAGAUGCGAAAGCGUGGGGAGCAAACAGGAUUAGAUACCCUGGUAG
rnacentral:rRNA from 1 species